AAGAAAUAAUUUGGUGGGGGGAAGAGAGCUCAAGUAAAUUUAUUCUAAAAAUGAUAUUGUGAGGUACAGAUUUCCUAAAGCAAGUACCAAUAAUAUAUGUUUAUUUUAUCUAAUUCUCAAAAACAGAUUACAACUACCGAGAAGAAAAUAAUGAAAAAUUAGUAUCUUUACUAUCUUUGAAAUGAGAAAUAGAACUUCAUAAUUUAUAUAUACCUAUAUUCCCAGAAAUUUUUCAUAAUAAAUUCCUAGAUUGUACCUCAUUCUUUCUGAACAUGCCAAAUAUUCAGAAUCCCAUGGAAGUGGGGGAUAGUAUACCUUUAUUUAAAAAUUGAGGACUGAAAAUAAAAAUAAGUGGUUUUCCAGUGUGGCAGCAACUAUUCUAAGGAGAAUGUGAUCAGUGACAAAUGACUGCUUCCCCAGCAGCCAGAACACUAUACUCCUUUCCAGAAUACUUACUACUCUUCUAAUAAUGUGUUUGAGAAUACGACUUCUUUUAAUGCAUUUUCCCUGCCAGAUUGUGAGUUCCUUGAGAACAGAAACUGCUUAACUUGUUCACCACUGCUCUGCCUGCACCUAGAGCAACGAUAAGCUGAUGGCGGAUGUUGGGUGGAUGGUUGGAUGGAUGACGGUCAGAUGGAUGAUGCUGUCCAAGGGGCGAAUGGUUGACCUGCGAGUGACACGCUUACCCAAGAAGCUACUGAGCACACUGGGAUUGGCUGUGAGCUGCCCGAGACACGAGCCCUGCCCGUUGUGAAUGUGUGGCCACCAGUCUUCAAUAUAUGUUUUGAAGGCCCAGUCUAUAGCCUGGACUGAACAUCAUUAGUGCUUCCCAAACCUUUCCCCAGGACUCAUCCCAACACCAAUGGGAAUAAACUUGUACCCUCUGGGACCUGGGGCCUUCAAGGUCUCACUCUAACCUUGUAAUUUUAUGAUAACUUGAUAUUCUCUCUAAAAUAUCCAUUUUUUGUCUUCAUAUAAAAUUAUUUUCCCAGACCUUCAGCUUGUGCAUUGUUUACCAGGUGAUGGCUUGUAGUGUCACUGGCACCCCUCUGCAUGACCUGGGAAGUCAUUCCUGUGCCCUGCUUGAGAAUCACAGUGUGAAGAUGUUGUCCAUAAAAUAUUACUGCCAACAUGAAAAUAUUGUAGUUGGGAGAGGUAACAUUAACUCCCUUUAAUAUGGAGUCUCUUAUCUGAUUCCCUUUUUUCACUCAGCAAAGAACAGCCCCCUGACUGAGAACGGGACAGAAGAUGAGGGGGUUUGAUGAUGGAAAGAAAAAAAACCAUUCAGAGCCACCUAAAAGGGAAGGUCUGGUCGGUCAGCCUGCUGGUCCAAGAUGGUAGCAAAUGGGAGUAGACAGGAUGGAGACGUUGGACAAGGAGGAAGAAACCAGAGCUUGGAUGAAAAAGUCCUUUGCCAAGACUAUUCAAGGCAAUGGGAUGAUGGCAGAUAAGACUGUGGAUAAGUACUCCUCCCAAGGGGUGAGUGCAGGAAGACACCAGGAGGGAGGCGGAGCCUCUGGAGAUCUUUCUGGAACCCAAACCACCCUAACUGGAGCCAGAAGGUCUGUCAAUUCCCAGAGAGCAGCAAGGAAAUGGUAAGUAAAUGGCAGCAGUUGCCUAGAGAAUUAGGGAAUGAAUAACAAUGCUUUCUGGUAAAUUAACCAUAUUACAUUGUGCACAGCAAAGUGAUGGAAGAACCUCGUUAAAAAUUGAAUAAUAAUUUUCCCACAUCAUUUAUGUAAAAUGCAUAAUUUUCCUACUUCAGUGGACUUUGGUUUGAUUUAAAAUAUGAACCGCUCUAGUACAGUUCACCAAAGCAUAAUUCGUGAGAUAAUUGGGAAGGGGAGGAGAAAUCAGGCUGUAAUCAGCACAAUCCUGUGUGAGCCACUUCACCUCCCUCCCGUCCCCUGCAAAUUUCGGAAAUUGUUUGUCGAUACGUUGAAGGUCUCUAUGUGAAAGUGUGAGGCAUCAAUCAUUGUCGUUGCUAUCACUAAACCAUGACCUCACCGUGUGCGAGAGGGGAAAGCAAGGCUUCCCUCUAGUCAGUAUUUUUCUGCUCUAAUUCAAAUAAGUACUUGUUUUUGAAUAGUAGGGAAAAUGGAAAUGUUGCCAUGCUUAAAACAGCAAGCCGAGAACAAAAGAAACGUGCAAGCAGCGGAAGGAGACCUUGGAAGAUGCGUAGAUAGAACAAAAAACUUCGCUUGGCCAGGAUUCUGUUUCAGAAUCAAAUGCAAAAUGAAGAACGUUGUUCCAACUAUAACGAUUUUGCCACCUACGAUCUCUGAAAUGAAAAGUCGUCACGGAAUCCACGUUGACAUUCAAAAGCUGUGCUCUUGCGAUGAGUGAUGGUGUUUGUCCGUGACUGAUGUAGGCUUCAGAACCAGAGCUGUCGGCGGUGGGGUGGAAUUCCACAGGUGAACCAGCCACCCUUCACUUCGACGCUGCCCUCCCGGGUCAGUCACUGUUGCUUUUCCUCGCUCUCCUCCUUCCCCCAUCCUUCACCCCUGCUCCCCACCCCCACGAGAACUAUAGAGUUUUCAUUAGAUAUUCAGUCAUUCUCUUCAUCCUCGUCUCUCCACAAAGGGCCAUUAUUUACUUACUAAAGUUAGCCCUUAGAUUUUUGACCUUUCAGGGCAAAUCUGUGGCUGAUUCUGUCUGCUUCUCUUUGUUGUCCUAAUCCUGCCUCCUCUGUAACCCUGCUGGCCCCACGAGGCUGAACCUUGAACCUCAUAAAUCUCCAUACUUCUCUCUCGGGUGCCCAUUUUGGUUGGCCAAAGGGGCCUUCCCAAGUCUUAAUACUCUUCCCCACUCUUUGCUUCUCUCCCUCCUACCCCUGCCACUAGCCUAAGAUUUAUCUGACACUAGGUUUUUCCCUAUGCCUCCUGCCACUAGCUAGAAAUUGCCUUUUUGCAAAUUGGAAAAAGCUAUCCUACCUCAAGACACUUUGCUGCCAUCAGCCAGAAAAUUAUUGUAAUAGAUAUGCCAAGAGAUGAUGUGAAUGGUGCCCCCUAGAAUUGUGCAGUACACAACUGGCACCGCGGUAUGAGACAACGCUGUAGUUGGAAACCACCUGAGUUACCUUGGAAGUCUGUAAAACUCAGAGCCACGGUAGGUCAGUCUUGCCUUUUUAUGACAGUUUGCAAUUUCAAAAUCUAAACCUUUGAGCCUUGAUCACAAAUUGCUGAGGGGCAGUUUCUGAAAGAGACAAAGAGCCCCCAGGCAGCAGUACUUAUAAGAGUAAAGGGCUCUUUAGUCAGCCCUAGAUUUGGCCUGCUGGCUGAGCGGAUGCAGCCCAAACCACACUGGGUAGAAUAGUAGGGGAAAUGGAAAUGUAGCAGAGCGCCAUUAGAAUCUCCUAAGUCUGAGUGUUGGGGGUACCGGGGAGCAGGGUACUUGUAUUAGGUCAACCAUGACUCCUCUUCAGCCUUGGCUGCUUUGUUUCUUGUUGCUUACCCCAUCUGUUCCCCUCCCCCCACCUCCUUCACAUUCCGCACAACCUGCACGUUCUGGUGAUCUUUUGCUGCAAAACAAGCCACCCCAAAAUUUAUUAGCGGAAACAGAAACAGACGUUUAUUUUACUCACAAGUCUGCGAUUUGGGCAUGGCUCCCAGGGGCCUCUCUGCUCCCCACGGUGUCACCAGGGCAACUCAGAUGUGGCUGGAGGAGCCACUUUCACCAUGGGGGCUCACGUGGCUGGUCAGUAGAUGCAAGCUGCCGCCCAGGAGCUCAGCUGGGGCUUGGGUUCCUCUGCACCUGGGCUCCCAGGUGGCCGUGUGGGCUUGCUCACAUGGCGGAGCCCAUGUCAAGCCACCAAGUGAACAACCCCAGCUGACUCUUCACGGAGCAGAGGAAAGCUGCCCCUACCAAGCCCUGCCCACUUUUCAAAUUUCUGAGUGAAAUAAAUGUCUAUGGUUUUAAGCCACUAAGUUUGGGAUGGUUCGUUUUGCAGCCAUGGAUCACCAGAAUGUACAGGCUGGGCUGAACGUGGUGUGAAUCCGUUCCCACAUUUCUCUAGGAUGCCUCCUGAUGCUGCAGAGUUGAGGAAGCUAAAAACUACAUUUCCCAGACUCCCUUCCCAUUAGGAUCAUGAGGAUCAAUUACGCUAUUACCAAUUAGACUUAUUUGCACAAAGUUCAGAAGGCAGAAGUGAGGUGGAAGCCAGUUUCUUACAGCUUUUGACUGUUUUCUGCUGGAAAGCAAGAUCAUGGAGCCACUGAUGCCCAGUCUCCAGCUUCACGGGUGUCAAGAGUCUGUUGUGGAGGUGGCAGUGGCUAGACACCACCUCCCAACAAGCAGGCAGACACAGUGGCGGCAGCAGUGGCACGCUCUUCUAGGCUUUCUGACCACUUUCUGACCAUUGUAUUGCAGCCACGGUGUUCUUAAGGGCAACAGUUCCCGUGGCAGCUUCUCAAGUCCCAUCUUCCUAAUUGUGGCAGAGGUGGCAGCUCUCGUGGCUGAUUGGUUCUGCUGCAUUCUGAGAGUCAUCCCCGGAGGACCAGCGUAAAGCCCUCUCUCCCAGCUCUUCCACCAAGUCUGUAAUUCCCCAUAUUAAACCUUUUUUUGCUUAAAAAACCUAGUAUGGUUUCUAUUUCCUACAUUGAACCUUGCAGCUGAUACUGGAUGAUCCCCUAAGUUCUGUCCCUUCUCAGCCAUCCUUUUGUUCUUGCUGCUUGUUUCUCGUUUAAUCGUUCCUUUAACAAAUAUUUAUGGAGGAUCUACUAUGUGCUAGGCACCAUGCUGGACCCUGGAGAAAAAUCUAUUAACUAAACAGACACGGCCCCACCCUCAUGGAAGGAGCCAGAACAAAGACCAAGAGACAGCCAACUACAGCCCUAGGACCAAAUCAACCCCCUGCUUGUUUUUGUAUAACAGUUUUCUUAGAACACAGCCGCACCCAUUCACUUACGUGUUGUCUUUGGCUGGUUUUUCCCCACCAUGGCAUAGUUGAGUGGUUGCAAGAGAGACAGUAUGACCCACAGAGCUGAAAAUACUUACUAUCUGGCCUUUUAUAGAAAAGUUUGCCAACUCCUGAAUUAGACAAAUAAAACUCCAAGUGACGCUCCUGUUGUCCCCCACAUCCAAUCGAGGGCUCUCUCUGCCAUUCUGCACACUCCACCUGCCAAGCUCCAAGCUCGGUUCUGAGCCCUUCAUGAGAAUCAUCUCACUUAAUUUUCACAAGCUUUGGGACAUCUUCUUACUACCUCUGUUUUACAGAGAAGGAAACUGAGAUUUAGAGAGACUUGGGCUUGAGUGACUGGGUAGAUGGUGAUAGCAUUAACAGAGAUAAAAUAGGUCUGUCCCCUUCCAGAGGAGACCAGAAAAGAAGCAGGAGAUGACGGAUUUGAUGUGGACUUGUGGCGCACGAGGCACCUGCAGACGUCCGUGAGAGGCUGUCCUGGCUGAUUUCCUGCUUGGUGUGGUGGAAAAGUGUGGAUUUCAAGUCUGGACCAAUUUUAGGUUCAAAUCCCAAUUCUCCCACUUCACCAGUGGUGUGAGUUUGGGUACGUGACUUCACGUCUCCAAGCCUCUUAGCUUCAGUUUCCUCAGAAGUAAAAUGGGCUCAUGUGAAGACAAAAUAAAGUGAUAUUCAUACGGCAUGCAGCAUAGUGCUUGGUACACGGUUGUCGUUUGAUCCGUGUGGGCAACCUCCCCUUCCUCUUCAGUCUGUUGCUCACAGGUUGGACAAUAAUCUAAAAGCACAGCUUUGACUGUGUUGUUCUCCUUCUCAAAAAAUGUGAUGGUUCCCACUGAGCCCCACUAGUGGAAGAAGACACAUUUGGAGGCCUGCCCAGCCCCCACCUCUUCUUUAAAUUCCCCCCAACACUACGCCCUCUGCUGAAGGUCACAUUCUUACCACGUGACCCUCCCCUCAACCAGAACAGGUGAAUGAUACCAGGGGCAGACACCUGACCAGGAGGAACCAAUCCAUUGACCAGCCCCUAGCUAAUAUUGUCUCCUUCAGGUUGGAACCAAGAAUCGAGAGGCUGUAGUGAUGGACACUUGGCCUACAGGUUAAUCUGAGUCAGGGCCAGAGUUGGCCCCAUGGGGGGGCAGAUGACACCGUCUGCAUGGAAGGAACCAGGACAAAGGGGGAACAGUAGCUGGAGAUCAUGGGCCGCGAGGGAAGGGGUGACUGGCAACAGCUGCUGUCCGUGCUCCUGUAUCUGGAGGUCCAGCUGUAUUUCCUGAGUGCCAUUUCUGUGAGAUUGCACGAACCCUUGCAGAAGACCAUCUCAUCACUUAAGCUAAUUCAAGAGUGUUUAGGCCACUGCAGUCCAGCUCAGCUGUUUUGCCAGCCUCAUCUCUCCAUCUCUCCCAUAACCCCACCCUAGAUCCUGGCUACACUGGAUUGCCUACAACUCCUCAAGCAUGCUCUGCACUGCUCCAGUCGUUUCCCCUGGCCUGGAAUGUUCUUUUGCCCUCUUUCCUCUUAACAGCCUCUCCAUCCUUUGAGGCCCAGCUCAAACAUCUGCUCCCUCCUGAAGCCUUCUCUGAUCCCACGGUCACAGUGAUAGCUCCCUCCUGAGAGGUCCCCACACUUGGCUUCUUGUCUCUCCACAGCAUUCGCCACCCACUCUUCCCUGAGUUUUCCUCUUUGUCUCUCUGCUCACUGAGGGUAGGAACUUGGCACACAUUAGGCUCUCGGAUAUUAUACUGAUUUUAAUCCAAGAGUUGGAAUCCUAAAAUACAAUCUGAGUUUCUUCAACACAGAAUAUCAUGCCAAUAUAAGGCGUUGUUCAUUAAAAUGGAAAUGCAUUUAGAGAAUGCUUCAGAUUAAAGGGAUGAAGAUCAAAGGGCACAUUUUUGGCCAAGAGUUCUGAGUCUUAGAGACCCAAAUAAAUUGUAGACAUUUAUUUCCUGAAUUGAUUGGAACCAUAACACUGGAUUUGGUGCUGUAAUAUAAAACUUUCUGAAACUUUUAGCCUG